rnacentral:rRNA from 1 species
GUGGGGAAUAUUGCACAAUGGGGGAAACCCUGAUGCAGCGACGCCGCGUGAGCGAGGAAGUACCUCGGUAUGUAAAGCUCUAUCAGCAGGGAAGAAAGUGACAGUACCUGACUAAGAAGCCCCGGCUAACUACGUGCCAGCAGCCGCGGUAAUACGUAGGGGGCAAGCGUUAUCCGGAUUCACUGGGCGUAAAGGGAGCGCAGGCGGCACGGCAAGUCUGAUGUGAAAACCCGGGGCUCAACCCCGGGAUUGCAUUGGAAACUGCCGGGCUGGAGUGUCGGAGGGGUAAGCGGAAUUCCUAGUGUAGCGGUGAAAUGCGUAGAUAUUAGGAGGAACACCAGUGGCGAAGGCGGCUUGCUGGACGAUCACUGACGCUGAGGCUCGAAAGCGUGGGGAGCAAACAGG